rnacentral:rRNA from 1 species
GUAGUCAUAUGCUUGUCUCAAAGAUUAAGCCAUGCAUGUCUAAGUAUAAGCAAUCUAUACCGUGAAACUGCGAAUGGCUCAUUAAAUCAGUUAUCGUUUAUUUGAUAGUACCUUACUACUUGGAUAACCGUGGUAAUUCUAGAGCUAAUACAUGCUAAAAACCCCGACUUCGGAAGGGGUGUAUUUAUUAGAUAAAAAACCAACGCCCUUCGGGGCUUCUUGGUGAUUCAUGAUAACUUUACGGAUCGCAUGGCCUUGCGCCGGCGACGGUUCAUUCAAAUUUCUGCCCUAUCAACUUUCGAUGGUAAGGUAUUGGCUUACCAUGGUUUCAACGGGUAACGGGGAAUUAGGGUUCGAUUCCGGAGAGGGAGCCUGAGAAACGGCUACCACAUCCAAGGAAGGCAGCAGGCGCGCAAAUUACCCAAUCCCGACACGGGGAGGUAGUGACAAUAAAUACUGAUACAGGGCUCUUUUGGGUCUUGUAAUUGGAAUGAGUACAAUUUAAACCUCUUAACGAGGAACAAUUGGAGGGCAAGUCUGGUGCCAGCAGCCGCGGUAAUUCCAGCUCCAAUAGCGUAUAUUAAAGUUGUUGCAGUUAAAAAGCUCGUAGUUGAAACUUGGGCCUGGCUGGCAGGUCCGCCUCACCGCGUGUACUUGUCCGGCCGGGCCUUCCUUCUGGAGAACCUCAUGCCCUUCACUGGGUGUGUUGGGGACCAGGACUUUUACUUUGAAAAAAUUAGAGUGUUCAAAGCAGGCCUUUGCUCGAAUACGUUAGCAUGGAAUAAUAGAAUAGGACGUGCGGUCCUAUUUUGUUGGUUUCUAGGACCGCCGUAAUGAUUAAUAGGGACAGUCGGGGGCAUCAGUAUUCAAUUGUCAGAGGUGAAAUUCUUGGAUUUAUUGAAGACUAACUACUGCGAAAGCAUUUGCCAAGGAUGUUUUCAUUAAUCAGUGAACGAAAGUUAGGGGAUCGAAGACGAUCAGAUACCGUCGUAGUCUUAACCGUAAACUAUGCCGACUAGGGAUCGGGCGAUGUUCUUUUUCUGACUCGCUCGGCACCUUACGAGAAAUCAAAGUUUUUGGGUUCUGGGGGGAGUAUGGUCGCAAGGCUGAAACUUAAAGGAAUUGACGGAAG